rnacentral:hammerhead_ribozyme from 1 species
AUCUAGCUGACCAGUUCCAAAUAGGACGAGAUGCGCGGCCUGGAU